rnacentral:rRNA from 1 species
UACGAAGGGGGCUAGCGUUGCUCGGAAUCACUGGGCGUAAAGCGCACGUAGGCGGCUUCUUAAGUCAGGGGUGAAAUCCUGGAGCUCAACUCCAGAACUGCCCUUGAUACUGAGGAGCUUGAGUCCGGGAGAGGUGAGUGGAACUGCGAGUGUAGAGGUGAAAUUCGUAGAUAUUCGCAAGAACACCAGUGGCGAAGGCGGCUCACUGGCCCGGUACUGACGCUGAGGUGCGAAAGCGUGGGGAGCGAACAGG